rnacentral:rRNA from 1 species
CUCCGUGUUGUAGCUAACGCGUUAAGCACUCCGCCUGGGGACUACGGUCGCAAGACUAAAACUCAAAGGAAUUGACGGGGACCCGCACAAGCGGUGGAGCAUGUGGUUUAAUUCGAUGCAACGCGAAAAACCUUACCACUCCUUGACAUGGAGAUUAGAUCCUUCUUAACAGAAGGGCGCAGUUCGGCUGGAUCUCGCACAGGUGCUGCAUGGCUGUCGUCAGCUCGUGUCGUGAGAUGUUGGGUUAAGUCCCGCAACGAGCGUAACCCUCAUCCUUAGUUGCCAGCGGGUAAGCCGGGCACUUUAAGGAAACUGCCGGUGGUAAACCGGAGGAAGGUGGGGAUGAUGUCAAGUCAGCACGGCCCUUAUGGGGUGGGCUACACACGUGCUACAAUGGUGACUACAAUAGGUUGCAAUGUCGCAAGGCUGAGCUAAUCCGUAAAAGUCAUCUCAGUUCGGAUUGUCCUCUGCAACUCGAGGGCAUGAAGUCGGAAUCGCUAGUAAUCGUGGAUCAGCAUGCCACGGUGAAUACGUUCUCGGGUCUUGUACACACUGCCCGUCACGCCAUGGGAAUUGGCUUAACUCGAAGCUGGUGCGC